GACGUAGGGUGCGAGCGUUGUCCGGAUUUAUUGGGCGUAAAGAGCUCGUAGGCGGCUCGUCGCGUCGACCGUGAAAACCCGCGGCUUAACUGAGGGCUUGCGGUUGAUACGGGCAGACUAGAGUGUGGUAGGGGAGACUGGAAUUCCUGGUGUAGCGGUGAAAUGCGCAGAUAUCAGGAGGAACACCGAUGGCGAAGGCAGGUCUCUGGGCCACUACUGACGCUGAGAAGCGAAAGCAUGGGGAGCGAACAGG
rnacentral:rRNA from 1 species